UUGCCCUAGUAACGGCGAGUGAAGCGGCAACAGCUCAAAUUUGAAAUCUGGCUUCGGCCCGAGUUGUAAUUUGUAGAGGAAGCUUUAGGCGCGGCACCUUCUGAGUCCCCUGGAACGGGGCGCCAUAGAGGGUGAGAGCCCCGUAUAGUUGGAUGCCUAGCCUGUGUAAAGCUCCUUCGACGAGUCGAGUAGUUUGGGAAUGCUGCUCAAAAUGGGAGGUAAAUUUCUUCUAAAGCUAAAUAUUGGCCAGAGACCGAUAGCGCACAAGUAGAGUGAUCGAAAGAUGAAAAGCACUUUGAAAAGAGGGUUAAAUAGCACGUGAAAUUGUUGAAAGGGAAGCGCUUGUGACCAGACUUGCGCCGGGCGGAUCAUCCGGUGUUCUCACCGGUGCACUCCGCCCGGCUCAGGCCAGCAUCGGUUCUCGUGGGGGGAUAAAGGCCCUGGGAACGUAGCUCCUCCGGGAGUGUUAUAGCCCAGGGUGUAAUGCCCUCGCGGGGACCGAGGUUCGCGCAUCUGCAAGGAUGCUGGCGUAAUGGUCAUCAGCGACCCGUCUUGAAACACGGACCAAGGAGUCAAGGUUUUGCGCGAGUGUUUGGGUGUUAAACCCGCACGCGUAAUGAAAGUGAACGUAGGUGAGAGCUUCGGCGCAUCAUCGACCGAUCCUGAUGUAUUCGGAUGGAUUUGAGUAGGAGCGUUAAGCCUUGGACCCGAAAGAUGGUGAACUAUGCUUGGAUAGGGUGAAGCCAGAGGAAACUCUGGUGGAGGCUCGCAGCGGUUCUGACGUGCAAAUCGAUCGUCAAAUCUGAGCAUGGGGGCGAAAGACUAAUCG
rnacentral:rRNA from 1 species